UCUAUCGUAAGGUAGAAUCUGAAGGAAGCUGUAAGCAAACUCUUGGUCCGACGGACAGAAAUCACAUAUGAGGCUAGACAGAUGUACAAUCCAUCUGUCUGUUUGCCGUGCAAAAAAACAGAUAACAAA
rfam:Ruminococcus gnavus ATCC 29149 R_gnavus-1.0.1_Cont232, whole genome shotgun sequence.